GCUGCACUUAUUCUACAACUUUUAAUGAACAAGUUAAGAUUUUAAAAGAUGAAUUGGUUGAGAAAAGAAAUAUUGCCAAUAAUUUAGACAGUAGGAGGUUACAGCAAUGGAUAUUGUUCUUUGUAAAACAUUUUAAAGCAAAUGACCCAGCAAGUAUUUCUAGGCACAUGACAUGGAGGGAUAAUUCUUCAAUCGACCACUUUCCUCAUGUUGAGGAGGGGGUAAGCUUCCUAUCCUAAAUGACUCACAUUCAACUUGAUGAUGAACAACUAAGUGAGUUAUGGAUCUGAGGUAUACAAGAUUAUUGUGGAGAAUUGUAUAUUUUUACAGGUGCAUUAGAGGAUUGCUGUCUUAAAUAGUUGGACUUCCUUGCUUCUCAAUGAUUUAGAACAAGCAUGUCAAACUAUAUAAGGUAAGGAGCAAUAAAGAAAUGUAUGUGUUUGUGUCUCUGUGUGUGUGUGUCUGUGUGUGU